AGCCCUGCGCUGCAUGAUCUCACUUCUGUUUAAUUCUGGAAAAUACAAACUAAUCCAGAGUGACAGUGAGCACAACUACACAAGCAGACCGGGCGGGAGGAGGGCGAGUGCAGAGCACAGGAGGUGACGGGCGCACCCUGCAGGUGGGAACGCAGGCGGCUUACACGCCGUGCACUGCCCAGGAGGCCAGAGAGGAAGACAGGGUGGUAGGGCCACCUCCGAAAUGCGUUACAUUUAGCUACCUGGGUUCAUCACCUUCCUGUCUGACCUCAGGCUCCACUCUGCAUCCAAGAGCACCAGCAUCUCUCUAGUUACAGCUCAAGGGAAGGCAGCUUCUCUUCCUGUACAACAAUGAGCUGCUUGCUAGUAUCUUUAGCACCGAGGUGCCACAGAAUCCGCGAGGCUUGCAGGCAGCCUGGGUGGAAGGCACUGUAGCUCUGAGUCUGCAGAGCCACGCUGUUUGGAAAUUCUCCCUCCUCCCCGCACUGGAACCUGUAAUCGCAGGCAGCCAGCUGCCAUUGUGCCUCCUCCUCGUGCAAUCGAAACCUUCAGUCAGCAUCGUCAGCAUCGCAGCCGCCACAAGACCUCAGCAGCAGCAGAAUGACACGAGGAGCCAGCUGCUUUUUCUUCACAGCCUCGCUUUUCAUCUCAACAGGCUGAGGAAAACAGAUUCCAUGGAUGCAGCUGAAUUUCCCAUCUUUUCAGCAGUAGCUGUUUUGGUUCUACGUGUUUGAAGCCAUACACUAAAAGGACGGACACUCACCCGGGCAGUCAUAGGGGAGCAGGAAAAGAUGCCCAAGGUGGGCAAAGGCUGCAUUGAGCCUGCAAACACCCCGAGCAGCACACAGCAUCCAUGUCCCUUAGUGAGCAGAGGAACGCCUGCCUCCCAGACCAGGAAGGCUGUGACCUCCGACCAGGCCACGUGCAAACCAAAAAAUCCAAGGUUGCCUACACCUGCAUCCUGAGUUCUGGAAAGUACCAGGCUC
rnacentral:lncRNA from 1 species